rnacentral:rRNA from 1 species
CCCUUAGAUGUUCUGGGCUGCACGCGUGCUACACUGAUAUUGCCAAUAUGUCAUUCUUAUCCGAAAUGGAUUGGGUAAUCAAGUAAUGAAAUUUCAUGCUUGGAAUCGGUAAUUGCAAUUUUAUCGUGAACGAGGAAUUCCUAGUAAGCACUAGUCAUCAGCUAAUGUUGAUUAUGUCCCUGCCCUUUGUACACACCGCCCGUCGCUACUACUGAUUGGGUGUUCAAGUGAGAUGCUUAGACCCUUGUUGCAUGGUUCAUUAUUGUGCUCCGAAAGGAAAAAGUUUCAAGCUGGAGUGUCUAGAGGAAGUAAAAGUCGUAACA